rnacentral:piRNA from 1 species
UGAGUUCGGUCAGUGCCUGAGGGAGC